rnacentral:rRNA from 1 species
AUUGAACGCUGGCGGCAGGCCUAACACAUGCAAGUCGAGCGAGCGGCGGACGGGUGGGCAGUGUAUGGGCAUCUGCCUAAUCGAGGCGUAUAAGUGCUGUAACCGGUGGCUAAUACCGCUUACGAUCCGUUGAACCGUUAUGGGAUUAGCUAGUGGGUGUGGUAACGGCUAACCUAGGCGACGAUCCCUAGCUGGUCUGAGAGGAUGAUCGGCCACACUGGGACUGAGACACGGCCCAGACUCCUACGGGAGGCAGCAGUGGGGAAUAUUGGACAAUGGGCGAAAGCCUGAUGGAGCAAUGCCGCGUGUAUGAAGAAGGCCUUAGGGUUGUAAAGUACUGUCAGUAGAGAGGCGUUACCGAAAGAAGAAGCAACGGCUAACUCCGUGCCAGCAGCCGCGGUAAUUC